rnacentral:rRNA from 1 species
AUUGAACGCUGGCGGCAUGCCUUACACAUGCAAGUCGAACGGCAGCACGGGAGCUUGCUCCUGGUGGCGAGUGGCGAACGGGUGAGUAAUACAUCGGAACGUACCCUGAAGUGGGGGAUAACGUAGCGAAAGUUACGCUAAUACCGCAUAUUCUGUGAGCAGGAAAGAGGGGGAUCGCAAGACCUCUUGCUUUAGGAGCGGCCGAUGUCGGAUUAGCUAGUUGGUGAGGUAAAGGCUCACCAAGGCGACGAUCCGUAGCGGGUCUGAGAGGAUGAUCCGCCACACUGGGACUGAGACACGGCCCAGACUCCUACGGGAGGCAGCAGUGGGGAAUUUUGGACAAUGGGCGCAAGCCUGAUCCAGCCCAUGCCGCGUGAGUGAAGAAGGCCUUCGGGUUGU